GGGGGCCCGCAAGCGGUGGAGCAUGUGGUUUAAUUCGACGCAACGCGAAGAACCUUACCUGGGCUCGAAAUGUAGUGGAAUCCGGCAGAAACGUCGGCGUCUAGCAAUAGACCGCUAUAUAGGUGCUGCAUGGCUGUCGUCAGCUCGUGUCGUGAGAUGUUGGGUUAAGUCCCGCAACGAGCGCAACCCUUAUCUUCAGUUGCUACCAUUUAGUUGAGCACUCUGACGAAACCGCCUCGGAUAACGGGGAGGAAGGUGGGGAUGACGUCAAGUCCUCAUGGCCUUUAUGUCCAGGGCUACACACGUGCUACAAUGGCCGGUACAAACCGCUGCAACCCCGCGAGGGUGAGCUAAUCGGAAAAAGCCGGCCUCAGUUCGGAUUGGAGUCCGCAACUCGACUCCAUGAAGCUGGAAUCGCUAGUAAUCGUGGAUCAGCAUGCCACGGUGAAUACGUUCCCGGGCCUUGUACACACC
rnacentral:rRNA from 1 species